rnacentral:rRNA from 1 species
GGUUAAGCGACUAAGCGUACACGGUGGAUGCCCUGGCAGUCAGAGGCGAUGAAGGACGUGCUAAUCUGCGAUAAGCGUCGGUAAGGUGAUAUGAACCGUUAUAACCGGCGAUUUCCGAAUGGGGAAACCCAGUGUGUUUCGACACACUAUCAUUAACUGAAUCCAUAGGUUAAUGAGGCGAACCGGGGGAACUGAAACAUCUAAGUACCCCGAGGAAAAGAAAUCAACCGAGAUUCCCCCAGUAGCGGCGAGCGAACGGGGAGGAGCCCAGAGCCUGAAUCAGUGUGUGUGUUAGUGGAAGCGUCUGGAAAGGCGCGCGAUACAGGGUGACAGCCCCGUACACAAAAAUGCACAUACUGUGAGCUCGAUGAGUAGGGCGGGACACGUGGUAUCCUGUCUGAAUAUGGGGGGACCAUCCUCCAAGGCUAAAUACUCCUGACUGACCGAUAGUGAACCAGUACCGUGAGGGAAAGGCGAAAAGAACCCCGGCGAGGGGAGUGAAAAAGAACCUGAAACCGUGUACGUACAAGCAGUGGGAGCCUCUUUAUGGGGUGACUGCGUACCUUUUGUAUAAUGGGUCAGCGACUUAUAUUCUGUAGCAAGGUUAACCGAAUAGGGGAGCCGAAGGGAAACCGAGUCUUAACUGGGCGUUAAGUUGCAGGGUAUAGACCCGAAACCCGGUGAUCUAGCCAUGGGCAGGUUGAAGGUUGGGUAACACUAACUGGAGGACCGAACCGACUAAUGUUGAAAAAUUAGCGGAUGACUUGUGGCUGGGGGUGAAAGGCCAAUCAAACCGGGAGAUAGCUGGUUCUCCCCGAAAGCUAUUUAGGUAGCGCCUCGUGAAUUCAUCUCCGGGGGUAGAGCACUGUUUCGGCAAGGGGGUCAUCCCGACUUACCAACCCGAUGCAAACUGCGAAUACCGGAGAAUGUUAUCACGGGAGACACACGGCGGGUGCUAACGUCCGUCGUGAAGAGGGAAACAACCCAGACCGCCAGCUAAGGUCCCAAAGUCAUGGUUAAGUGGGAAACGAUGUGGGAAGGCCCAGACAGCCAGGAUGUUGGCUUAGAAGCAGCCAUCAUUUAAAGAAAGCGUAAUAGCUCACUGGUCGAGUCGGCCUGCGCGGAAGAUGUAACGGGGCUAAACCAUGCACCGAAGCUGCGGCAGCGACACUAUGUGUUGUUGGGUAGGGGAGCGUUCUGUAAGCCUGCGAAGGUGUACUGUGAGGUAUGCUGGAGGUAUCAGAAGUGCGAAUGCUGACAUAAGUAACGAUAAAGCGGGUGAAAAGCCCGCUCGCCGGAAGACCAAGGGUUCCUGUCCAACGUUAAUCGGGGCAGGGUGAGUCGACCCCUAAGGCGAGGCCGAAAGGCGUAGUCGAUGGGAAACAGGUUAAUAUUCCUGUACUUGGUGUUACUGCGAAGGGGGGACGGAGAAGGCUAUGUUGGCCGGGCGACGGUUGUCCCGGUUUAAGCGUGUAGGCUGGUUUUCCAGGCAAAUCCGGAAAAUCAAGGCUGAGGCGUGAUGACGAGGCACUACGGUGCUGAAGCAACAAAUGCCCUGCUUCCAGGAAAAGCCUCUAAGCAUCAGGUAACAUCAAAUCGUACCCCAAACCGACACAGGUGGUCAGGUAGAGAAUACCAAGGCGCUUGAGAGAACUCGGGUGAAGGAACUAGGCAAAAUGGUGCCGUAACUUCGGGAGAAGGCACGCUGAUAUGUAGGUGAAGCGACUUGCUCGUGGAGCUGAAAUCAGUCGAAGAUACCAGCUGGCUGCAACUGUUUAUUAAAAACACAGCACUGUGCAAACACGAAAGUGGACGUAUACGGUGUGACGCCUGCCCGGUGCCGGAAGGUUAAUUGAUGGGGUUAGCGCAAGCGAAGCUCUUGAUCGAAGCCCCGGUAAACGGCGGCCGUAACUAUAACGGUCCUAAGGUAGCGAAAUUCCUUGUCGGGUAAGUUCCGACCUGCACGAAUGGCGUAAUGAUGGCCAGGCUGUCUCCACCCGAGACUCAGUGAAAUUGAACUCGCUGUGAAGAUGCAGUGUACCCGCGGCAAGACGGAAAGACCCCGUGAACCUUUACUAUAGCUUGACACUGAACAUUGAGCCUUGAUGUGUAGGAUAGGUGGGAGGCUUUGAAGUGUGGACGCCAGUCUGCAUGGAGCCGACCUUGAAAUACCACCCUUUAAUGUUUGAUGUUCUAACGUUGGCCCCUGAUCGGGGUUGCGGACAGUGUCUGGUGGGUAGUUUGACUGGGGCGGUCUCCUCCUAAAGAGUAACGGAGGAGCACGAAGGUUGGCUAAUCCUGGUCGGACAUCAGGAGGUUAGUGCAAUGGCAUAAGCCAGCUUGACUGCGAGCGUGACGGCGCGAGCAGGUGCGAAAGCAGGUCAUAGUGAUCCGGUGGUUCUGAAUGGAAGGGCCAUCGCUCAACGGAUAAAAGGUACUCCGGGGAUAACAGGCUGAUACCGCCCAAGAGUUCAUAUCGACGGCGGUGUUUGGCACCUCGAUGUCGGCUCAUCACAUCCUGGGGCUGAAGUAGGUCCCAAGGGUAUGGCUGUUCGCCAUUUAAAGUGGUACGCGAGCUGGGUUUAGAACGUCGUGAGACAGUUCGGUCCCUAUCUGCCGUGGGCGCUGGAGAACUGAGGGGGGCUGCUCCUAGUACGAGAGGACCGGAGUGGACGCAUCACUGGUGUUCGGGUUGUCAUGCCAAUGGCACUGCCCGGUAGCUAAAUGCGGAAGAGAUAAGUGCUGAAAGCAUCUAAGCACGAAACUUGCCCCGAGAUGAGUUCUCCCUGACUCCUUGAGAGUCCUGAAGGAACGUUGAAGACGACGACGUUGAUAGGCCGGGUGUGUAAGCGCAGCGAUGCGUUGAGCUAACCGGUACUAAUGAACCGUGAGGCUUAACCUU